rnacentral:misc_RNA from 1 species
UCUACUAUCUGCUCGCAGAAUUAAUGUAUCAAAUUUUGAUUGAUUUGGAAUAUAAUCUACCUGUUUUCAAACCUUCUUAUAGCAUUACUUAAAAUUUUCUUUUUUUCAAAAAUAAAAAGGAAGUUGGUGUAAAAUUCAUGAGUGUCAUUAUAAUCACAAAGCUUUUGCUAGAUAUCAUCUUGAACAAAUUGGUAUCUUUCCAUUUAAACAUGAUUUCUCGUAUACGAAUAUUGCAUUUCGUGUAACAGUUAAGGCUGCUAUGCUAAAUAUUCAUAAAUGCGACCAUUAUCGGCUUGUCUUUGUAGGUACUCCCGCUCUAUUAAAGCUUCAAUUCGUCGCUUAAUCAUCAUCGGACUAGGGUGGAAACGAGGGUUUAACUGUCUUGUAACCUCUGCCAUCAGCUGAUUGUGUUCGCACACUUUGCGAUCCCUUAAUUUACUGUUAGUAAAAAUGUUUGAAAAAAAAAAAAAAGGAAAAAGACAUACUUCAUCACUCUAACAAUACAGGCAUCUGCUUGAUGCUUCCUUGACUCGUCUACCUUCUCUAAUGUACGUUUUCUCUCACUAUCAUCCUCAACACGAGUCUGAGCAACUGUCGAUAUUUUAAUCCGGGCGAGAUUUGAAACAAA